GCAGGUGAUGGUGGAAGUGGACGGGGGCUGCACCAGGUGGAUAUAGGAGCCCCUCACACCGAUGUUUAAGAGCGUCUCCACUGUCGUGGAAUCAAUGAUGCAUUACUAAGGUUACAGAUCUGAAACAGGAAACAGCACAAGGAGGGCAUAGCACAAAGAGGACCCUAUGAAAGCUCCAGAAGUAAAGGCUGGCAAGAGGAGCACGCAGUCAUUCCCUUGCAGGAGAAGUCAUUUGAAAAGGAGCACCACACAGAAUUGAAAGAAUCUGGCAAGGCUGAGUUUCCCUGAUUUCUCCCAGAGCUCUGGGGCCCAGCUUCUGAGAGUUAAGAGCACCUCCUUGAGAGAUGCCCUGGGAAUGGGAAUGUCAUUAGCACUAGACCUGGGGGAAAUAGCUUAUAUUUAAGACAAGAAGCUCAUUUCUACACACUCUUAUCUUGGCUGUUCAGUGGCCAAAAGCAGGCCCGCAAAGGGGUUUUGUGCAGUGGCAGAUGGGAGACAUUCUUAAAUCUUCCAAAAGCAUUUAUUUUCCUUUAAGCGGACAGCAGAGUGACACCACCUCUGAGAAGUAGUCAAGUCAUCAGAAUAUCACAGAUGCUCUUCCCCCAUCUGACAACC